rnacentral:lncRNA from 1 species
GUACAUAUUAUGGCAAAUACUAUGAGCAAGUUCUUUGAAACAAGAUGGAAACCCAUUGAGAAGAAGCUAGCUGCAGCUGAUGCUGCUCUUAAGAGAGAAACUCAAGAGGCCAAGCCAGUGUUGCAGUCCAAGAAGAGGAAGGAACCUCCUGUAAAUCAUGACAUUGCUUUGCCGGAGAGAACUAAGCCAAAAAUGACAGAUGAGCAGAAGCUGAACCUUAGCAGGCAGUUAGAACCUCUAGUGGGUGAGAUGCCGGAUCAUAUAGUUGAUUUCUUGAGGAGCCGCUCGAAACAGACCAGUGAAGAUGAGAUAGAGAUUGACAUUGAUUCUCUUAGUGAUGAUACAUUGUUUGAGUUACAGAAGCUUGUAGAUGAUUAUUUGGAGAAGAAACGAUCGGAGAACCACGCAAAAGCUGAGCCUUGUGAAAUGGAGGUGUGUUUUGCUUGAUUGAUAUGUGAGUUGGGUAUUUGUCAAGUUUGUGUUAUGUUUAUAAUUAAACAUUUUGAUGUCUUAUGCAGAUCUUAAAUGAAUCUGGCCUUAGCAAUUCGUCAAUGCAUCAUGGAAAAGGUCAACUUCUUCCUUAUUAAUGCUUUUUUUAUGAUAAUGUGCUUGACAUGUUCAAAUCUUAUGGUUCUUGCUUUUCAGUCAAUGAGCUGGCCGAUGAGGAGGUUGACAUUGGUGGCGAUGAUCCUCCUGUCCCAAUCUUCCCUCCUGUGGUGAUUGAAAAAUCAUGUGGGAACAAUUAGAAUCAAAUAUACUUGGAUUCUUCGAGUUUCCACCACCAUUUUAUAACAUCAGAGGUACAUUCUCCCUAUGCACCUGCGUGUCGGACGAUCUCUCAAUGAAUCAUCUCAACCGUUGGCGGCGAUCUGAACCGAUUUUAGCCGUAGGGAUGAUGAAACCACCUUAAUAUAUAGAUUGCACUAGAUUCCUCACCUCACGGUUGUAGAUCGUACUAGAUUCGAAUCUGGGAUGUGCUAAAAUCAUGUACGGGAUUAAGCGAGUCAACACCGGCUCAGCCGUCCGAUGCAUUGGGCCUCAAAUCUACGGACCGAACACCGCCGCGCUCAACCCAUCCCAACGGACGGCUAUGAUCGACCGAACCGCAUCAUCGAAGCGCGUAUAAGGUCGCGCCCCCGCUACGGGGUGAGGUCGAGGUCGAACCCAGCCCCGAUCGCCGCUUCGAGCGUCGCCCUUUCGAAAAGGGUAAACAAGUAAACUCGUAAAUCUCUCUCUCUCUCUCUCUCUCUUCGCGUUCACGUUUCCUCUCCACACUCGACCCCCUCCAAGGAGAGAGCGAAGCGAAGCGAAGAAGAGCGGCGGCGGCGGCGGCGGCGACGACGCGAGCGGGGGGGGGCGGGGGAGGAGGAGUUUGUGUUCUCUUUUAGGGUUUCCUUGCGCUAAGAGGAGGUUCUCCCGAUCGAGAUCCAGGUUUCUCGCUCAUCCCGGAGACCCUUUUCCGCGAAAUUUUUUUCUCGCCUUUAUUUUUGAUUUUGGGGGGUUCGGCUGCGCCGCGCUUCGGCUCUGCGCGGUGAUCUCGCGCUUUCUCGGGUCAAAGGCGAGGGUUUUCGUUCCCAGUGGUGGCGGAAACGGGAAUUUACAGUGGCGGGGGUGGGAAAAGGGGGAUUGGUUGGUGUUAGGGUUUCUUCGUUACGGCGAGGGAGCUGCAAGCGUGCUCGUUCCUUUUUGUGUCCGGUGAUUUGGGGGGAUUUGUAGGGUAUUAGCGAGAGAGGGCCGUUUUGGUUGCAGCUAGGGUUUGGGUGUUAAGCUUGCUGGAAGUGGAGCGUGGACAUUUUUGCGGGAGUUUUAGCUUCACUUUGGUGUUAAGGUUUCUUCAGUACACACUCGAAGAGAAAGCAAAGCUGUAAGUAUUGAGUUUGUUGGAAAGGCAAUAUCUGUACUAUUAGGGAGGAAACAGAAGCAAAUUUGAUAUUUGAAAGAGCAUGUUGCUGGAAAAAAAUUUAAUUUAGUACGAUCAAAUUAUCAAUUCACACGGCCAUACUUAACAAAAUCUGGACGAGUGUUGACUUUGUUCCUCGUUCUUAAGGUGAGAAUAGUUUUUCAUUGGUGUAGCAGAAGAAAAGAGCUGAAAAAGGAGACUACUCUGUUGUCGUUGCGUACACAAUGAUGGGAAAGACACAGAAAUUCUCAAAGGGAUUCUCUUCUGGAUUUGUCCCGGAUUAUCGGCAUGCGGUCGAGACGGUAGGUGAAUCGGAAGGGUUUGCUAGCCCUGCUCGCAUUGACUCUGAAGACUCUUGCGCCCCAAAGAGGAAAUGCAUAAGUUUAAAUUCAGACAGAUGCGACGGGUUUAAUGUCCCUUUGCAAGUCAUUUCUCUUUCCAAGAUGUCAGGUUCCGAGAGGAAGGAGUUGGAAAUGAGACUUAGAGGAGAGCUUGAGCAAACCAGGAUUCUCCAAAAGAGACUGCUUUCAAAGAGUGCAGCAGGCUUAAAUGGGGUUGCCCUAUCUUCCUCCAGUGAUGUCCAUGUAAAGAAACAGGAUUCUGUUCUCCAGCAUAGUUCCCAAUCGAAAAGGGAAAACUCUGAGUCUGCAAAGCCGGCGCCACCUCCGCCUCUGCCUCCGCCUCCGCCUCCACCUUUGAUCAGCAACGCCCAUGUAAUGAUGUUGAAACAAUGCGAGUCACUUCUUAAACGCUUAAUGGCGCAUCAGUAUGGAUGGGUAUUCAACACUCCUGUUGACGUGGUGAAGUUGAAUAUUCCAGAUUAUUAUCAAGUUAUUAAGCAUCCGAUGGAUUUGGGGACUGUCAAGAGUAGGAUCACUUCGGGUGCUUACUCCAGCCCAUCGGAUUUUGUUUCUGAUGUCAGGCUUACUUUUACAAAUGCCAUGACUUACAACCCACCUGGUAAUGACGUACAUAUUAUGGCAAAUACUAUGAGCAAGUUCUUUGAAACAAGAUGGAAACCCAUUGAGAAGAAGCUAGCUGCAGCUGAUGCUGCUCUUAAGAGAGAAACUCAAGAGGCCAAGCCAGUGUUGCAGUCCAAGAAGAGGAAGGAACCUCCUGUAAAUCAUGACAUUGCUUUGCCGGAGAGAACUAAGCCAAAAAUGACAGAUGAGCAGAAGCUGAACCUUAGCAGGCAGUUAGAACCUCUAGUGGGUGAGAUGCCGGAUCAUAUAGUUGAUUUCUUGAGGAGCCGCUCGAAACAGACCAGUGAAGAUGAGAUAGAGAUUGACAUUGAUUCUCUUAGUGAUGAUACAUUGUUUGAGUUACAGAAGCUUGUAGA